CCACAACCACCAGGGUUGGGAACACAGUUCCAGGAGGGUUUGCCGGCAUCAGGAUCGAGUUUGUCAGCGCGAGCUCCGCGCACCCGAGCAAAGCUUGAGGUGAAAGAUAAUUCCUUCCAUGUUCUCAACUUCAACCGCAUGCCGUAACUUUCCAAAAGCUCGACACCCCUUGCAUGGGCUUUCACUUCUACACAGCGGGAACAACAAGACAGAAAAACGUCAACGCAACAGUUAAUCCUCUGCGGGGUAGAGCUAUUUCACUUGAGGAGCAUAAAUUCUAUUAAGAAAGAUUGUACACUGUUAAUAAUCCUGAUAAUUGUGAAACUGCGGGACAAUUAUGUGUUAUUAUCUUAUUUCUGUACUAAAAGUGCUGUGCUGAAGCAAAAUUAAUUUAUUACAGAACGUUAUGUUUGUUAACAAAAAAACAGCUCAUGGCACACCCCAAAAUGAUAUAAAAGUGAACAUAAACACACACCCACACCA